rnacentral:misc_RNA from 1 species
AAAAAAGGAAAAGAAACAACCACCUAUACUUUGCAAACUACACUUUAGAAGGGCAAGGAAAAAAAAAGACCUAACUAAUUCGAUCAAUCAUCUAACUUCUGAUAUUGUACAAUCGUAUUCAAAUGAAGAAUCUCACUACAGAAAUACAACAUAUUUAACCAAACCCAUAUGCAAAAACCAUAACCAUAUACUAGGUCCAACUUGGUUUGAAAAAAGUAUCCACUAUAAAUUUUUGAGAUCACAAACUAUCAUCUUCUAGUUAAACCGAAAAAAAAAUCUUUUAAAAAGGAAGAAGACGCAAUUUAU